GGUCCUGGACGACCGGAACUGGGGCCCCAACCGCUUGCCUGGCACCUCUUGAUAGCAGGGCCGGAGGCGGUCGCGGAGUCCGCGGCCUCGGGGUUAAGACCAGGCACUCCUAGAUGAGCCGUGUCUGCAGAGCUCAUUUGGAUCGUGUAAUCCCGGGCCCAAGGCGGACCCCCGUUUAGGACGGUGCAGUGUUCAGGACAGAGUGCAUCUUUCUUGAGACUGAAAAACAGAAAGAGCUGUUCCACCGUCAGAGCUGCUUACAGAGGGAAGAGGGCGUCGUUCUCCUGUGUGUCUCGGAGCCCCGCGUCACCGCGCCCCGCAGCCCUGCUUGAAGGCCGCAGGGCGGGCUGGCGCGGAGGACGCUGGGAGGCGGGGGACACGGGUUCGGGUGGCAGGGAGCCGCGUGUCCGGUGAGGAGACAAGGGGCCGAGUCUGGCUCUGGAAGGGGGCCCCAGCCGUGGUCCCGGGCGCCCUGGAGGACAGCACUUUUGCCUGAGGGGAACGACAGAAGGAGCUGAGCUUUUCUGAGUAAAUACCAGAUGUAAUCAGAGAUGGGAAUGGACAAAGACCUGAGAAGCAAAACACAAAGGAUGUGAAUUCAGCUCCUGAGGGCUUUAGGGUAGCCAUGGAGUGACUUACAAAUGGGACAUGUCACAACCACACUGAACGGUAUGUAUUGCUGAAUGUAUGUUCAUCUUCAUCCUUUCAUUAAAUAUGUAUUGGGUCCUA